rnacentral:rRNA from 1 species
GAUGAACGCUGGCGGCGUGCCUAAUACAUGCAAGUCGAGCGAACAGACGAGGAGCUUGCUCCUCUGACGUUAGCGGCGGACGGGUGAGUAACACGUGGAUAACCUACCUAUAAGACUGGGAUAACUUCGGGAAACCGGAGCUAAUACCGGAUAAUAUAUUGAACCGCAUGGUUCAAUAGUGAAAGACGGUUUUGCUGUCACUUGUAGAUGGAUCCGCGCCGCAUUAGCUAGUUGGUAAGGUAACGGCUUACCAAGGCAACGAUGCGUAGCCGACCUGAGAGGGUGAUCAGCCACACUGGAACUGAGACACGGUCCAGACUCCUACGGGAGGCAGCAGUAGGGAAUCUUCCGCAAAGGGCGAAAGCCUGACGGAGCAACGCCGCGUGAGUGAUGAAGGUCUUCGGAUCGUAAAACUCUGUUAUUAGGGAAGAACAAAUGUGUAAGUAACUAUGCACGUCUUGACGGUACCUAAUCAGAAAGCCACGGCUAACUACGUG